rnacentral:rRNA from 1 species
UACGGAGGGUGCAAGCGUUAUCCGGAUUUACUGGGUUUAAAGGGUGCGUAGGUGGGUAGGUAAGUCAGUGGUGAAAUCUUAGAGCUUAACUCGGAAACUGCCAUUGAUACUAUUUAUCUUGAAUACUUUGGAGGUAAGCGGAAUAUGUCAUGUAGCGGUGAAAUGCUUAGAUAUGACAUAGAACACCAAUUGCGAAGGCAGCUUACUACACAGUUAUUGACACUGAGGCACGAAAGCGUGGGGAUCAAACAGG